ACCUGCUCCCAUAAGCUGCAGGAUGAAGUCUUUCUGGUCUCUCUGAUGAAGAUUUUGUUAGGUUCUAGGCCCAGAACACUCUGCAGCAGCCCCUUGCCUGGUGACCAGCCAACAGGAAGAAUGAAUGGCCGUUUCUAAAAGACUUAAUCUGUUGAUAACCAGAGAGUCUUCAAAGAGCCUCCAAGCUGGCUGGCCCACUUUCCAAACUACCUAGGAGCUGGUUGGAACAGUGCUGAAGCAAGCAUGCAGAAGAGUCGUAGACUCCACCAGCAGCCGUUCUUCCUAGGUAUGAAUGAGCAAGAAAGAGGUAGACUGUGUUCAUCACCCGUGAAAUGACUUCCAGCUCUUCCGCUCCAGUGCCACACGAGAGAGGAGGCCAGGGGCUGUGUGGAGCUGUGUCUGCCAAGCAAGGAUAAAGGAAGGUGUGGUCUCAGAAGACAGGGCAACUAGAAGCUCUGCUCUCAGAGACUUGUUGGGGGAAAAACACUCUUUCAUUUCAUAUUUCCAUAAUUACUGAUGGCAUGAAACUACCUGAAUGAAACUACCAAAUAAAAGAA